AGUCUAUCCUUCUGAGUCAAUAUAAUCCUUAGAAAACCUCACACCAAUCAUUGCUGUGUCAUCGAUUCUGAUCUAUGAAUCUACCAGAUUUAGUUGUGCCGAAUACGGGAGAUGAUAAGAAGAUAUCCCUGUGGCGGAUAGAUGUGAAUAUUUUAGCAGUUCUGGUUGCUAUGAAGGACAAUGGUGAUAGAGAGUGUAAGGAAACUGUUGUCACUCGGAUCCUUCGUUUUUGGGAAGCAAGGAUUGAAGAAUCCUAGAGAGCUUGCGGGGAUUGACAUGGUUAUGGUAAAUGAAAAGGUAUUUGUUCUCAACUGAGCCUAAAAUAUCUUUAAGUAUAUCAUAAGUGUUAUGAAUAUUGUGGUGAUGUCCAUAUAUCAAGUUCUAGAUAUACUUGUUCUCCACUUCCGGUUAGACUUUGUCUCCAAGCUAUUGUAAUCCUAUAUAAAGGCCUAUUACUCAAUGUAUAAAACACAUCAAUUCUUCUCUUCUCUUUUUCACUUAUAACACGUUGUCAGCACGAAACUCUAGCAGUCGUAAA